CUGAUGCUGCAACAGUGAAGAUGGUCGUGCUGUCUUGCUCUCUGGCUGCAUCAAGAUAGAAGAUCUAGAGGAAGGAGCCACUGCCCAAGACAUGCCUAGUGAUGGACAGAUUGUGAGCCCUGCAUGCAAGCCUAUCUGCCACUUGCUUCUGAGUCAGUUGCCAAACUAAGAUGUAGUCUAGCAGAAGUGAAAGGAGGACCUGUAAGACGACCAACAAUUAAACCCUCAUCUAUGUCACAACACCCAAUGGAAGGGGGAAGUGAGGAGCUAUCUGAAACCAGUAAACCCUACUAAAGAAAGGAGUAAGUGAACCAACUCGAACUUUCCAUUUCAGCAGUCCAAUUUGGCCAGUUUUAAACCAAAUGGUAAAUGGCGAAUGACAGCAGAUUAUAGGAGAAUUAAUGAAUUGUCCCCUAAACUGUCAGGACAAUUACCAGUUGUAGUAGAUAUUCUCAUGGGGACUAAGAAAGCAGCACCAAAAUGUCUGGAAACUCUAGAUUUGUGAGACAUGUGCUUUGCCACAAUACUACACCCAUAAAGCAGAGAAUACACCACAUUCACUUGGCAAGGAAGACAGGACCAAUUUUCAAGACAACCACAAGGAUACAUAAACAGCCCAAUAAUUGCCCACAAUGUUCUAAGAUGGUCACUGGAUGAGGUCAUGCCAGCUCCUAACUGUAGUAUGUGUUCAUAUGUUAAUGAAAUUUUGAUAAUAGGUUAAAAAAAGAAAGAAAAAUACACACACACACACACAACCCAGUAGACCAAACCAUGCAAGUAUUGAGAGAUAAUGGUUAGACCAUCAAUAAGGCUAAGGCAUCAAGACCAGAUACAACGUCAAGUUCUUGGGUGUAAUGUGGUCCACUAAAGGACCAGAAAUACCUACAGAAGUCAUAUAAGUUAGAACAUCUUAAAAUACCAACCAAUAAAACAGAGGUACAACAUCUUAUAGGAUUGUUUGGAUAUUGGAGACGACACAUACUAUAUUUAAAAGCCAAGGCCUUUUAUACUAUUACAAGGAAAGCAAAUGAUUUUAUUUGGGAUAAAUCCCAAGAACAAGCUAUGAAAACAGUGCUAGAAUAUAUAAAGGAAUAUUCUAAGCUACAAUACAUCCAACCAGAUGGUAUAGUAUAUUUAGACAUAACACAAUAUAGAAACUAGAGUAUCUUUGCUUUUUGAAAUGGUAGAGAAUGGCCAGUAGGCUCCUACUGUAAACUCUUCCUUUGGCUGGAAGACAAUUUCUUUUUAUUUGAGAAAAUAAUUUGGACAGCAUAUGAGGCCUUAAAAACUUGCCACAGCAUGCUGCAGAACAAUCAAGUAAUAUUCAAAACCACCAUCCCGAUCCGAGAUUGGAUCUAGGUACCAGAGGAAGCAUGGGCCGGUCUACUCAUGGAAGAGAAAGGACUACAGUGGAAUGGUACUUAGCGGAGUUCCUUCACUCUGGUACCCUGUCUGCAAAGGGGUCAGUGCCAAAGGCAUUGGAGUUGAUAAUUCAGACCAACUGCCCUAUGACUCCACAGGGAUUAUGAAUCAUCCCGAAUGCCACCCCUCCCCAGAAACAGGUACCACUGGGGGGACAGGAGAGUACCAGCCUUCCCUGGCUAAUGCCUGGUUUAUAGAUGGCUCCACACCCAGUAAAUAGAGCAUGGUCUUGUAGAAGGCAGCAGCCUACAGACCUGGGGAUGGAAUGGUGAUCACUGAACAAGGAACAGUUAAAUCUGUACAACACGCAGGAGGAGGAGCAGCCACACCAGCAGCAAGGCAAAGCCUCAAAUAAAAACAAAAGGGACUACCUUUGUUCACUUACUCAUGGUGCAUAGCUAAUGGUAUAGGCAUAUGUUCAGGAAAAUGGAAAGUGAAUGAUUGGCAAACUAAUGGCAAGGAUAUAUGGCCCAAGGAAUUUUGGAUGGAACUAUAUAAUAUGGCCAAAGAAGUUAAGGUACACAUAUAUCAUGUGGACACCCAUCCUAACAAAGAAGGUGACCAAUAUAGACAUAAUGACAGUGGAUAAAAUAGCCUAGCAAUUAGAUUAAAGUGAAAUGGGAAGGUAGAACAGGUAGGCUCCAAAACAUUAAGGCUUAAAGCAGAAUGGAAGCCAAUACCAACUAGAGACUUGGAGGCAGAGAUUACCGCCGAAGAAAUAUUAAAAAUACAUGAGACCCUGGGACAUGCAGAAAUGCAUGCCGCAUUCCAGUGGUUUUCAGUAGAAAUUUAAAGGUGACAUGGAAAGGGAUCAAAAAUGCAAUAAAUUAAUGCAAACAUUGCCCCAAAGAUAAAACUAGAUUCACAUACAAUUCUAAGGAAAACAGGACAUAGGCUGAGUUUCAAUCAUACCUUACAAAUAGACCUUACAGGACCAUUAAGUCAAUGGAAAGGUGCAUAUCCUUGCACCUUGGUAGACUUAUGCACCGGAUUAGGAUUCACCAAAAGUGGGUCUUUAACCAUACUCACAUUAUGGGAUUGGAUUUCCCAUUGUGGGACCCCAAAUACUGCACAAUCUGAUCAAGGAAUGCAUUUCACAGUGAACAAGUUUAAAACAUUUGUAAGAUUAUGAAUAUACAACGGCAAUAUCACAUGGCUUAUCAGCCAACAGCAGCAGGAACCAUCGAAAGAGUUAAUGGCCUGCUUAAAACUAACCUAGCAAGUAGAGAUAAGAGUAGCUCCCUGGCAGAAGAACUAAUGAAAUGUGUGCAUGAACUAAACAUUAGACCAAGAUUGAAUAGGGAAUCCCCAGUAUAAGAGGUAAUAAAAUAUAACAUAGAUAUAGAUUACCCAGUGGUGCAGGAUAAGGUACUAAGUAGGGACUAUAAAUACAUUCACAGGAAUAAGAAGGAUCAGACACUUGAAGCAGCAGAAGUGGUCGGUUACCCAAGGACAGGGAAAACCGUCUGGAUUACACAAGACAUGUCUGUAAUUAAGAAAAUCAAGAAUUCCUAAUAGGAAGAACUUGGGGAUGCACUUAGGAUGUCAACUCCUCCGCAGCCAGAUACUUUUUUGUUGUUUCUAUAAACCUAUGGAGCCAUAGAAAGAUUUGUUUAGCAGAUUGCAUGUGUUCAUGUUUGGAACUCCCCAAAACUGUACUUACUAGAACAACUGACCAUGCUGCCCUGGCUGCAUCAAGAUAGAAGAUCUAGAGGAAGGAGCCACCACCCAAGAUACUCCUAGUGAUGGAUAGAUUGUGAGCCUUGCCUCUGUGCCUCUCUACCACUUGCUUCGUAGUCAGAUAGCUACACAUGGGAGAUGAAAACAUGUGUCUACACAGGCAUGCAUGCAAAGCAACUUUAUCAUAACAGUCCCAAGUGGAAACAACCAAAUGUCCAUCACUGCUGAACGGGUAAAACAAGUGUAAAAGAACCACACAAUGGAAAACCACCCAGCAGAAGCAGAGAGGAGCUCAGUGGCUGAGCAGGUACCUAACAAAUCCAAGGCCAGAACUGCAAACAAACUGACAGCAAGAAGCCAUCCCAGCAACCAACCAAUCAAUCAAUCAGUGCUGUAUUGACAUAGAUAAAACCAAUACGUCUCAACAAUAUGAUUUUCAGAGAAAAUUCAAUCACAAUAAAACCUCUAUACAUUAUAAGUCUAUUUAUAUGUAAAACUACAGUAGCCGGAUAUGGUGAUACAUCGGAGGUAGAAGCAGGAAAGUUAGGAGUUCAAGAUUAUCGUCAGCAACAUAGUGACUUUGAGAGUUUCUGGGGCUACAUAAGAACCUGUCUUAAAAUUAAAUUAAGGCCUCAAACAAACAAACAAACAAACGAAUAACCUAUGAUAGCAAAAAGCAGAUCAGUGGUUGCCCAUAGCCAGUAGGGGGAUAAAUAUCUUCUAGUCAGCUUUUGUCACUGUAACAGGUACUGGAAAUAAAUUAUCGAGAGCAAACACGUGAGGCUCACAGUAUUGGAGGGUCCAGUCUAUAAUCAGCCAUUGCACAUGACUGGGAGCAAGAGAACAAAAAUGAAGGGGCGAUAUCCCAUAAUUCCCUUUGAGAGCAUUUCCCCAAUGACCUAAAACCUUUUAUGAGGCUUCACUUUUUAAAGAAUUCUGAAGAAAAUAAAGAUCCAAUAAUAAGAAACAAACCCUUCCACUCUUUAGUAAUCUGACCCUGACUGGGCCUGAGCCAGUGACUCAUGAUACCCUAUACGAUCAAUUAAAACCUAACUUCCACU